rnacentral:rRNA from 1 species
UGAAAUCCCCGGGCUUAACCUGGGAAUUGCGUUUGAAACUGCAGAACUAGAGUGCGGCAGAGGGAGGUGGAAUUCCAUGUGUAGCAGUGAAAUGCGUAGAGAUAUGGAAGAACAUCGAUGGCGAAGGCAACCUCCUGGGCUAGCACUGACGCUCAUGCACGAAAGCGUGGGGAGCAAACAGGAUUAGAUACCCUGGUAGUCCACGCCCUAAACUAUGUCAACUAGUUGUCGGGUCUUAUUGGGCUUGGUAACGUAGCUAACGCGUGAAGUUGACCGCCUGGGGAGUACGGUCGCAAGAUUAAAACUUAAAUGAAUUGGCGG